CUAGAUUGGUGACUGCCCAAUGCUUCACUGAGUGAAUGGGUUAAAUGCAGAGAGGAAUUUCCCCAAGGGGAUCAAUGAAGUAUACCUUAUUACUCCUAUCUUGCAUAGAUAAUAUCAAUCAGAGGCUUAUGCAAUGGUCAUUAUUGCUGCCAAAUUUUAACACUGAGUUUACCACAUAAAGGGAACCAAUAACAUAAUGUUAGAUGCUCUGUUUGGAGGAGAAUCUUAAAUCAAAAAAUUCAAUAUUCGUUUUUCAUUCUGUUUGUGCCUUACAGCUUUGCUAAUGUGGACAAAUUUCCCUUAUUUAUAACCCAAUAGAGAGCAACUUCUUCAGAUUCCAUUGAUAUAAAAGAUAUUUGUGCAUGACCAGAAAGUCUAGGUAUGUAUAAAUAUCUAAAAUGCAUGUAUAAAUUGAUUUUAAUAAAGGCUUUCAAUAAAGUGUGAGGCUUAUUAAUUUUAUUUUGAGGUGUGUCUUUUGUUGUUUUUCUUUCUUUCUUUCUUUCUUCCUUUCUUUUUUUGUUUAUUUUUGGAAAAUUAGUUUUCAGGUUACCAUCAUAACUUCACUUGGUGUUGCACCUAUAGAAAACAACCACGAAGAAAUGUUCCAUUCAGCAGGCCAAUCACAACUUACAUUUCCUUUAAUGGAAAAAUGUGCAUGGGUCAUGACAUCUGUUAAUAGGAAGUGUUGUUGUCUUCUAACUCCAGGUUAUCGUCAUUAGACAUGGACGGGGUGCAUGCAUUUCUGGUUGUUCUUUUAGGAGCUUUAUCUUCCAGUCAAGAGCUGAGAAAUGCAUCGCUGAUAGAGAUGAGAGCGAGACCAGGAGAAAACAUCACUCUCUACUGUGAUUGUAAAUCAUCAGUUGGAGUCUACAUAGUGUGGUACAGGACUUGCUCUCAUGAGAAGCAGCCUUCCCUGGUAUUAAGAACCCAGCUUGAUCGGAGAUGUCCUGAUUCACACUCAGAUCGUCAGUCUGCUUUCUUCAAUCUCCUGAAUCCAUUUCCCGAUUUUCAUCUGGUAAAGAACAAUUUAUCUCAAUCUUAUGACCUACUGAUCACAAACAUCACUGAGACUGAUGAGGGCCUUUACUACUGUGGAACUGAACAUCCCAAGGUUAAAGAUGAAGCAAAAAUUAUCCAAGAAUAUGUGUACACAUAUAGUAAUAUCACAACAAAGAUCCUGCUUCAUAAGGAUUCUGUUUCAGGUGAGCCCUGUCAUGAAACUUGUUGGACGCUAAUUUACUCUCUGUGUCCAGCUUUUGCUGUCGUCUCAUCACUUCUCUCCUCUCUUUUGAUUUAUUACUGUCAGAAGACAGGUAAGUCCUCAAUACUAAGACACCUCAAGAUGAUGAGAAAAGAUACAGCAAAAGAGUACAGAAACGACUGAAUGAGGAUGAAGAACUGUGUUAUGCGGCACUGGAAUUCCGCCAGGCGUCACAGAGACCAAAGAAGACGACAGCCCAGAGUUCAGAUUUCAGCACUUACUCUGCCAUUAAUACUGACGGCAUGGAGUGACCCCAUCGGUGCAACAAGCUGUAUAAUGAAUUCUAUAUUCUAUACUUAUCUUUUAUACUUAUCCUGUUUGUGCUUAUUAAUGUUUUGUUCAUCACAGUGUUAUCACAAAGGGGGUUAUUACAUCCCUCAGGAAUUACAAUGCUUAGAUCUUUGAAAGUAAAAAUAUAUUUACUUUGUUUGCCAAGAGGAUAGUGGUAUAAUGCCAUAGUCUUUAACUUAGAUAUGUUGAACAGUUCUGCUUUACUUUUUAUAUAAGCAAUUUGAUACAUCUGUAAAGUUGAAUACAAAUGUAAUUAAAACCAUUUCCAUUGUA